rnacentral:rRNA from 1 species
GAUGAACGCUGGCGGCGUGCCUAAUACAUGCAAGUCGAGCGAACGGACGAGAAGCUUGCUUUUCUGAUGUUAGCGGCGGACGGGUGAGUAACACGUGGAUAACCUACCUAUAAGACUGGGAUAACUUCGGGAAACCGGAGCUAAUACCGGAUAAUAUUUUGAACCGCAUGGUUCAAAAGUGAAAGACGGUCUUGCUGUCACUUAUAGAUGGAUCCGCGCUGCAUUAGCUAGUUGGUAAGGUAACGGCUUACCAAGGCAACGAUGCAUAGCCGACCUGAGAGGGUGAUCGGCCACACUGGAACUGAGACACGGUCCAGACUCCUACGGGAGGCAGCAGUAGGGAAUCUUCCGCAAUGGGCGAAAGCCUGACGGAGCAACGCCGCGUGAGUGAUGAAGGUCUUCGGAUUGUAAAACUCUGUUAUUAGGGAAGAACAUAUGUGUAAGUAACUGUGCACAUCUUGACGGUACCUAAUCAGAAAGCCACGGCUAACUACGUGCCAGCAGCCGCGGUAAUACGUAGGUGGCAAGCGUUAUCCGGAAUUAUUGGGCGUAAAGCGCGCGUAGGCGGUUUUUUAAGUCUGACGUGAAAGCCCACGGCUCAACCGUGGAGGGUCAUUGGAAACUGGAAAACUUGAGUGCAGAAGAGGAAAGUGGAAUUCCAUGUGUAGCGGUGAAAUGCGCAGAGAUAUGGAGGAACACCAGUGGCGAAGGCGACUUUCUGGUCUGUAACUGACGCUGAUGUGCGAAAGCGUGGGGAUCAAACAGGAUUAGAUACCCUGGUAGUCCACGCCGUAAACGAUGAGUGCUAAGUGUUAGGGGGUUUCCGCCCCUUAGUGCUGCAGCUAACGCAUUAAGCACUCCGCCUGGGGAGUACGACCGCAAGGUUGAAACUCAAAGGAAUUGACGGGGACCCGCACAAGCGGUGGAGCAUGUGGUUUAAUUCGAAGCAACGCGAAGAACCUUACCAAAUCUUGACAUCCUUUGACAACUCUAGAGAUAGAGCCUUCCCCUUCGGGGGACAAAGUGACAGGUGGUGCAUGGUUGUCGUCAGCUCGUGUCGUGAGAUGUUGGGUUAAGUCCCGCAACGAGCGCAACCCUUAAGCUUAGUUGCCAUCAUUAAGUUGGGCACUCUAAGUUGACUGCCGGUGACAAACCGGAGGAAGGUGGGGAUGACGUCAAAUCAUCAUGCCCCUUAUGAUUUGGGCUACACACGUGCUACAAUAGACAAUACAAAGGGCAGCGAAACCGCGAGGUCAAGCAAAUCCCAUAAAGUUGUUCUCAGUUCGGAUUGUAGUCUGCAACUCGACUACAUGAAGCUGGAAUCGCUAGUAAUCGUAGAUCAGCAUGCUACGGUGAAUACGUUCCCGGGUCU